rnacentral:rRNA from 1 species
CACGUAGGGGCCAAGCGUUGUCCGGAUUUAUUGGGCGUAAAGAGCGUGUAGGCGGUUAGGUAGGUCCGCUGUGAAAACUCGAGGCUCAACCUCGAGACGCCGAUGGAAACCAUCUGACUAGAGUCCGGAAGAGGAGAGUGGAAUUCCUGGUGUAGCGGUGAAAUGCGCAGAUAUCAGGAAGAACACCUAUGGCGAAGGCAGCUCUCUGGGACGGUACUGACGCUGAGACGCGAAAGCGUGGGGAGCGAACAGG